UAAACUUCUGUGGCAGAAUAAUAGUGUUAAGCAUUUACCAGUAGGUUUUUCCUUGGUAUUUCCUUUCUUUCACCAGUGGAGGAAAAUUCAUAUGGCUCUUUAAAACUACUUCUGUUAGGGUCUUGGGGUUCUUCAGACACAUUAUAGGAAGAAAGCUAAGUAAAGGGCUUGAUGCUUUUUAACUAAAUGAAGUCAAGGCCCUCGUAUAAGAAUAAAGCAACAGAAUGAAGUUAGAGUGGCUGCAGAGCUGAUGUGUACAUUGUAACUUCAGGGUCAAACAGACAUGGUGGUGUUCUGCCACUGGCAGCCAACAUUAGUUCAGGUCAGGAUGACUCACUGAGAGGAAGAAGUGAGAGGAGAAACAACGCCAGUCACUAUUUCAAGCCGGCUGAGCUCAACUUGGCACCUCCAGGGCCUGAACUCACCCUGCCAUUCCUCAGCAGAGGGACAACGUCCAGGUAUGACAUGGAUGUAACACGGGCUAUGAGAUUCCAUCCAACACUAGGGUUUGCUGCCAACAGAAGGCUAGGGAGGCACUGAAUUCCGAGAUAUGCCCUAAAGAUGAGGGAGGAAUAGAACAAACACCCUUAAUCUCAGUCACAGAUUCAGAAAUCAAAGCAGAAAGCUGGGGGGUGAUGGGGGGAGAUUAAUCCAGAUCUCAUUCCCUCUCAAUGUAAAAGAAUUUUAAAAGAGUUUUCUAAGAGCAGAAACUGCCACCAAGGGUGUAGGAGUCAGGCUAGCUAUGGUCUGUGACUGGUCUGACAAAGGCUAACUCUUACCCAGAUGUCCAAUAAAAACACUUAGCAAGUAUCAUUUCC
rnacentral:lncRNA from 1 species